GGUGGCUCAGUGGUAGAGUGUUUGCCUCGCAUGCAAGAAGUCUUGGGUUCGAUUCCUCAGCACCA
rfam:Dipodomys ordii contig_6695, whole genome shotgun sequence.